GCAAAAUAUUUGGUUAAAUAACACAAGCCAGCAACGUAAUGCAUCUGCAGAAGCUAAUAAGAUUGGUUUAUUAAACAAUACUCUUGAGGCAGCUUCAUUGGCUCCAUUGGGGUUCAACGAUCAAACUUCCCAAAAAUGUGGACCCCAAUUAAUGGAAUCUGAGAUGAUUCCUACAAAUUCACAGGAUUACCAUAAGGAUGAGAUACCAGAACAG
rnacentral:misc_RNA from 1 species